rnacentral:miRNA from 1 species
UCCAUUUCACACGCUCUCUCGCC